rfam:Candidatus Lloydbacteria bacterium RIFCSPHIGHO2_01_FTLL_41_20 rifcsphigho2_01_scaffold_758, whole genome shotgun sequence.
GCGGGAUUAGUUAAAUGGUAUAACUCCAGUUUUCCAAACUGGUGUCGGGAGUUCGAUUCUCCCAUCCCGCA